rnacentral:rRNA from 1 species
AACGAACGCUGGCGGCAUGCCUAACACAUGCAAGUCGAACGGGAUCCUGGCUUCGGUCAGGUGAGAGUGGCGGACGGGUGAGUAACGCGUGGGAACCUGCCCAGUGGUGGGGGAUAACUGCGGGAAACUGCAGCUAAUACCGCAUGAGCCCGAGAGGGGAAAGAUUUAUCGCCAUUGGAGGGGCCCGCGUUCGAUUAGGUAGUUGGUGAGGUAACGGCUCACCAAGCCGACGAUCGAUAGCUGGUCUGAGAGGAUGAUCAGCCACACUGGGACUGAGAUACGGCCCAGACUCCUACGGGAGGCAGCAGUGGGGAAUAUUGGACAAUGGGGGCAACCCUGAUCCAGCAAUGCCGCGUGAGUGAUGAAGGCC